CCUACGGGGGGCAGCAGUGAGGAAUAUUGGUCAAUGGCCGGAAGGCUGAACCAGCCAUGCCGCGUGAAGGUCAGUGCCCUAUGGGCGUUAAACUUCUUUUGUGCGGGAGCAAUAAUGGUCACGUGUGGCCAGACGAGAGUACCGUACGAAUAAGCAUCGGCUAACUCCGUGCCAGCAGCCGCGGUAAUACGGGGGAUGCAAGCGUUAUCCGGAUUUAUUGGGUUUAAAGGGUGCGUAGGCUGUGAGGUAAGUCAGCGGUGAAAUGCCCCCGCUCAACGGGGUGAAGUGCCAUUGAUACUGCCUGGCUGGAAUGCGGAUGCGGUGGGAGGAAUGUGUGGUGUAGCGGUGAAAUGCAUAGAUAUCACACAGAACACCGAUUGCGAAGGCAUCUCACGAAUCCGCGAUUGACGCUGAUGCACGAAAGCGUGGGUAUCAAACAGGAUUAGAUACCCGAGUAGUC
rnacentral:rRNA from 1 species